rnacentral:rRNA from 1 species
UGCAAGUCGACGAACCUUCGGGUUAGUGGCGGACGGGUGAGUAACGCGUGAGAAUCUGCCCUCAGGAGGGGGAUAACGGUUGGAAACGACCGCUAAUACCCCAUAUGCCUACUGGUGAAAUGAAUUUCGCCUGAGGAUGAGCUCGCGUCUGAUUAGCUAGUUGGUGAGGUAAUGGCUCACCAAGGCUUCGAUCAGUAGCUGGUCUGAGAGGAUGAUCAGCCACACUGGGACUGAGACACGGCCCAGACUCCUACGGGAGGCAGCAGUGGGGAAUUUUCCGCAAUGGGCGAAAGCCUGACGGAGCAACGCCGCGUGAGGGACGAAGGCCUCUGGGCUGUAAACCUCUUUUCUCAAGGAAGAAGAUAUGACGGUACUUGAGGAAUAAGCCACGGCUAAUUCCGUGCCAGCAGCCGCGGUAAUACGGGAGUGGCAAGCGUUAUCCGGAAUUAUUGGGCGUAAAGCGUCCGCAGGCGGCUUUUCAAGUCUGCUGUUAAAGCGUGGAGCUUAACUCCAUCAUGGCAGUGGAAACUGAAAGGCUUGAGUAUGGUAGGGGCAGAGGGAAUUCCCGGUGUAGCGGUGAAAUGCGUAGAUAUCGGGAAGAACACCAGUGGCGAAGGCGCUCUGCUGGGCCAUUACUGACGCUCAUGGACGAAAGCCAGGGGAGCGAAAGGGAUUAGAUACCCCUGUAGUCCUGGCCGUAAACGAUGAACACUAGGUGUCGGGGGAAUCGACCCCUUCGGUGUCGUAGCUAACGCGUUAAGUGUUCCGCCUGGGGAGUACGCACGCAAGUGUGAAACUCAAAGGAAUUGACGGGGCCCGCACAAGCGGUGGAGUAUGUGGUUUAAUUCGAUGCAACGCGAAGAACCUUACCAGGGUUUGACAUCCUGCGAACCUCUUAGAAAUUUGAGGGUGCCUUCGGGAAUGCAGUGACAGG